UGUCCGAGUUGUAAUCUCUAGAAGUGUUUUCCGCGUUGGACCGCACACAAGUCUGUUGGAAUACAGCGGCACAGUGGUGACACCCCCGUACACGGUGCGGACGCCCAGCGCUUUGUGAUACACUUUCGAAGAGUCGAGUUGUUUGGGAAUGCAGCUCAAAUUGGGUGGUAAAUUCCAUCUAAAGCUAAAUAUUGGCGAGAGACCGAUAGCGAACAAGUACCGUGAGGGAAAGAUGAAAAGCACUUUGGAAAGAGAGUUAACAGUACGUGAAAUUGUUGGAAGGGAAACGCUUGAAGUCAGACUUGCUUGCCGGAGCUUGCUUCGGUUUGCAGGCCAGCAUCAGUUUUCCGGGGUGGAUAAUGGCGGUUAGAAGGUAGCAGCUUCAGCUGUGUUAUAGCUUUCCGCUGGAUACAUCCUGGGGGACUGAGGAACGCAGCGUGCUUUUAGCGGGGGUUUCGACCUCUUCACGCUUAGGAUGCUGGUGUAAUGGCUUUAAACGACCCGUCUUGAAACACGGACCAAGGAGUCUAACAUGCUUGCGAGUAUUUGGGUGUCAAACCCGGAUGCGUAAUGAAAGUGAAUGUAGGUGGGAACCGCAAGGUGCACCAUCGACCGAUCUGGAUUUUCUAAGAUGGAUUUGAGUAAGAGCACGUAUGUUGGGACCCGAAAGAUGGUGAACUAUGCCUGAAUAGGGCG
rnacentral:rRNA from 1 species